AGAGUUUGAUCCUGGCUCACAUUGAACGCUGGCGGAAUGCUUUACACAUGCAAGUCGAACGGCAGCGCGGGGGCAACCCUGGUGGCGAGUGGCGAACGGGUGAGUAAUAUAUCGGAACGUGCCCCGUCGUGGGGGAUAACGUAGCGAAAGUUACGCUAAUACCGCAUACGAUCUACGGAUGAAAGCGGGGGAUCGCAAGACCUCGCGCGAUUGGAGCGGCCGAUAUCAGAUUAGGUAGUUGGUGGGGGAAAGGCUCACCAAGCCAACGAUCUGUAGCUGGUCUGAGAGGACGACCAGCCACACUGGGACUGAGACACGGCCCAGACUCCUACGGGAGGCAGCAGUGGGGAAUUUUGGACAAUGGGCGCAAGCCUGAUCCAGCCAUUCCGCGUGCAGGACGAAGGCCUUCGGGUUGUAAACUGCUUUUGUACGGAACGAAAAAGCCUUGGCUAAUACCCAGGGUCCAUGACGGUACCGUAAGAAUAAGCACCGGCUAACUACGUGCCAGCAGCCGCGGUAAUACGUAGGGUGCGAGCGUUUAUCGGAAUUACUGGGCGUAAAGCGUGCGCAGGCGGUUAUAUAAGACAGAUGUGAAAUCUCCGGGCUCAACCUGGGAACUGCAUUUGUGACUGUAUAGCUAGAGUGCGGCAGAGGGGGAUGGAAUUCCGCGUGUAGCA
rnacentral:rRNA from 1 species